GAUGAACGCUGGCGGCGUGCCUAAUACAUGCAAGUCGAACGGUAGAAAUCUAGCUUUUUCGACUUUAGGAGUGGCGAACGGGUGAGUAAUACAUAAGCAACCUACCCACGAAGGCUGGGGUAAUAUCUGGAAACGGGGACGAAUACAGGGCAGGUAAUCGGAAGGCAUCUGCUGAUUACUAAAGGUCAAAAACACUGGUGGAUGGGCUAAUGGCGCAUUGGUUAGUGGGUGAGGUAACGGCCCACCAAGACGAUGAUGCGUAGCCGGCCUGAGGGGGUGAACCGCCAGAUUGGAACCAAGGCCCGGCCCACACUGCUACGGGAGGGAGCAGUAGGGAAGUCACGGGGAGGGAGGAAACCCUGACCGAGCAACGCCGCUUGAGAGAGGCCGGCCUUCGGGAUGUACAUCUCUGUUGUAAGAGGAGAGCGGUGGAUAGACAAUAGCUAAAUGACGGUACCUGAACAGGAAGCCACGGCUAACUACGUG
rnacentral:rRNA from 1 species